UAUCUUCAACAGUUUAAAAGUCUUUCUUCUCUACAUGGUCUUCAAAUAGAAAUCAAGAAGCAAGUGUUCCUGCCCUUUCUGGGCAUCAGAAAUGGAUCCUUGGAAUUUGGACUCUAUUUUGAAAGACACUUUAAAAUCUCUAAGCAGAUGGGCCUCAACUACUUGCUGCUAAUACAGACGGGAACUCAAGCUGCCUGUAUUCUUGGCUGCAUAUUGCUGCAGGGACAGGAUUAGGAUGAGAACGGUAACCUUGUAGGACGUCUUAUGGAGUCAAUGCUGGCCAUGACAGGUGCUGUGGGAGAAGGUGGUCUGUACUGAGCCCCUACUGACCUUUCAUUGGGAGAUAACACUAAAGGGAAGAAAAGGCUGAUCCCUGAGCCUUGUGUCUAGGUUAGAAGCCUGAAACUGGAAAAUAUAUGAAGUUAUGUCUGGUGUUUUGUUAUCUGUUGUUUUAGGAAGAGGUAUGAAUUUUGCCCUGAGAGAAAAAGAAUUGGGUUGAUGUCCCUUUGCCUCUAUGCACAGAGGUGACCUAGCAGUUACCAUGACAUCCGGAUUUAUUAACCUCAACCCCCAAAAUCCAGCCCACCUCUAGCAGUAAAGAGAUGGGAUUUUCUCUUACUGAAACUCUUUUAGUCUGGUCUUGUAAGGUUGCCUUUUUUUAAGGAGUAACCAAGCUCUCUGUUUAAUGUGU
rnacentral:lncRNA from 1 species